rnacentral:tRNA from 1 species
GUCGGCGUGGCGGAAUGGCAGACGCGCCAGCCUUAGGAGCUGGUGUCCGACUGGACGUGGAGGUUCGAGUCCUCUCGCCGACA